CAGCCGCCGCGGUAAUACGUAGGGUGCGAGCGUUAAUCGGAAUUACUGGGCGUAAAGCGUGCGCAGGCGGUUAUAUAAGACAGAUGUGAAAUCCCCGGGCUCAACCUGGGACCUGCAUUUGUGACUGUAUAGCUAGAGUACGGUAGAGGGGGAUGGAAUUCCGCGUGUAGCAGUGGAAUGCGUAGAUAUGCGGAGGAACACCGAUGGCGAAGGCAAUCCCCUGGACCUGUACUGACGCUCAUGCACGAAAGCGUGGGGAGCAAACAGGAUUAGAUACCCCUGUAGUCCCUGUCUCUUAUAC
rnacentral:rRNA from 1 species